UACGAAGGGGGCUAGCGUUGCUCGGAAUCACUGGGCGUAAAGGGUGCGUAGGCGGGUCUUUAAGUCGAGGGGUGAAAUCCUGGAGCUCAACUCCAGAACUGCCUUUGAUACUGAAGAUCUUGAGUUCGGGAGAGGUGAGUGGAACUGCGAGUGUAGAGGUGAAAUUCGUAGAUAUUCGCAAGAACACCAGUGGCGAAGGCGGCUCACUGGUCCGGUACUGACGCUGAGGUGCGAAAGCGUGGGGAGCAAACAGG
rnacentral:rRNA from 1 species